AUGUCAACAGUGCCUUAGCAGCACGUAAAUAUUGGCGUUAAGAUUCUAAAAUUAUCUCCAGUAUUAACUGUGCUGCUGAAGUAAGGUUGGCCA
rnacentral:pre_miRNA from 1 species